rnacentral:lncRNA from 1 species
GAGCGCCGGCAGUUUCAGAAUUCACUUCACCACUCUUUCUCUUUGCACCGGUGGGCGUAGGUGUGUUAAGGCUUAUCCACUUUUGCUCGUGCCGCAGGACACACCACGUGUGUUCGAGGGUAAACUUGUGACCCUGAUCAGCGUAGAAGAUUUGAUGAGCCACCUUUAGUAAGUCAUUGUCACUCUGACCGCUGGUUAUUUGUCUCUCUGCAGCAGAGAAUGCGGCACAGAACUUGUUCGUUUGAUCAUUGAUUCUGUGCCACCUCUGCUUACAGUGAACAUUCUCUAUCUUCUCAUGAAGAGUUUCCGCAACGAACUCAUCAACGCGUUUUCAGAAGGUCUUUAACUUCAUAGAAUUUCCGACAACAUCGUCCUUUGAUGUGUUAAGCCACGCACUAAUCACCACCUCGUCAUCACGCGGCGUCCAUUUCCUUCUCACCAAACGCUCCACAAUAAGCUACAUUUUCAUACAUAUUAAACAAGACAGAGUUCGGCCAAGAGCUUGUUCACAACGGUUUAAGACAGGUACUUAAUUAGAAAAACUAGAAGAGUUCGGCCAAGAGCUUGUUCAUUACGGUUUCUUGACUCUCACUUAGUGGACUGGUCUUAGCAAGGAGAGUGUCUAAUAUCGCCAUCUUAGACAGCUUCUCCUUCCUAGCCAAAUCUUCACACUUGAGCUCGUAAAUGCUCUUAUAGUCCUCAAUAGCCUUCCCUUUACUACUAUUCCUGCUUGCUUUCGCAGCUUUGAUACCUUCAGGACGCACUGGUGCUUGUGGACUCUCCUCACCUACAUGAGCGCCGGCAGUUUCAGAAUUCACUUCACCACUCUUUCUCUUUGCACCGGUGGGCGUAGGUGUGUUAAGGCUUAUCCACUUUUGCUCGUGCCGCAGGACACACCACGUGUGUUCGAGGGUAAACUUGUGACCCUGAUCAGCGUAGAAGAUUUGAUGAGCCACCUUUAGUAAGUCAUUGUCACUCUGACCGCUGGUUAUUUGUCUCUCUGCAGCAGAGAAUGCGGCACAGAACUUGUUCGUUUGAUCAUUGAUUCUGUGCCACCUCUGCUU